rnacentral:rRNA from 1 species
CUACGGGCCGCUGCAGUGGGGAAUUUUGCGCAAUGGGCGGAAGCCUGACGCAGCAAUACCGCGUGAGUGAAGAAGGCCUUUGGGUCGUAAAGCUCUUUUCUGAAGGAAGAUAGUGACGGUACUUCAGGAAUAAGCACCGGCUAACUCCGUGCCAGCAGCCGCGGUAAUACGGAGGGUGCAAGCGUUGUUCGGAUUUACUGGGCGUAAAGGGCACGUAGGCGGCACAGCAAGUUAAGGGUGAAAUCCCGGGGCUCAACUCCGGAACUGCUCUUAAAACUGCUGAGCUAGAGAUAGUCAGAGGCGGGUGGAAUUCCUGGUGUAGAGGUGAAAUUCGUAGAUAUCAGGAGGAACACCGGUGGCGAAGGCGGCCCGCUGGGGCUAUUCUGACGCUAAGGUGCGAAAGCGUGGGGAGCGAACGGGAUUAGAUACCCGUGUAGUC